GACGAACGCUGGCGGCGUGCUUAACACAUGCAAGUCGAACGCUGAAGCUCAGCUUGCUGGGUGGAUGAGUGGCGAACGGGUGAGUAACACGUGAGUAACCUGCCCUCUUCUUUGGGAUAACGCCCGGAAACGGGUGCUAAUACUGGAUAUUCACUGAUUCUCGCAUGGGGGUUGGUGGAAAGGUUUUUUCUGGUGGGGGAUGGGCUCGCGGCCUAUCAGCUUGUUGGUGGGGUGAUGGCCUACCAAGGCUUUGACGGGUAGCCGGCCUGAGAGGGUGACCGGUCACAUUGGGACUGAGAUACGGCCCAGACUCCUACGGGAGGCAGCAGUGGGGAAUAUUGCACAAUGGGCGAAAGCCAGAUGCAGCGACGCCGCGUGAGGGAUGGAGGCCUUCGGGUUGUAAACCUCUUUCGCUCAUGGUCAAGCCGCAGCUUUGGGUUGUGGUGAGGGUAGUGGGUAAAGAAGCGCCGGCUAACUACGUG
rnacentral:rRNA from 1 species